AUCCUUUUAGCUUAAUGGUAGAGCUUAAUACUUCUAAUAUUAAGAUUCUGGUUCAAUUCCAGAAAAGGAUG
rnacentral:tRNA from 1 species